GCUUCUUGAGUAUGUUGUAGUAUACCUGCCUUCCAAGCAGGGGGACCACGGGUGUGGAAGAUGCU
rnacentral:tRNA from 1 species